rnacentral:rRNA from 1 species
AUUGAACGCUGGCGGCAGGCCUAACACAUGCAAGUCGAGCGGAGCGGCGGACGGGUGAGUAAUGCCUAGGAAUCUGCCUGGUGGUGGGGGAUAGCGUACGGCAACGGGCACUAAUACCGCAUACUAUGAGAUGAGCCUAGGUCGGAUUGGCUAGUUGGUGGGGUAAAGGCCCACCAAGGCGACGAUCCGUAACUGGUAUGAGAGGAUGAUCAGUCAAACGGGAACUGAGAAACGGGCCAGACUCCUACGGGAGGCAGCAGUGGGGAAUAUCGGACAAUGGGCGAAAGCCGGAUCCAGCAAUGCCGCGUGUGUGAAGAAGGUCUUCGGAUUGUAAAGCACUUUAAGUGGGGAGGCGGUACCAACAGAAUAAGCAACGGCUAACUACGUGCCAGCAGCCGCGGUAAUAC